rnacentral:lncRNA from 1 species
UGUGUGUGUGACAGAAGGGACCGAGGAAGUUCUCGGACUAAUGAUUAUAUACUUCAGUAUUUUCUUUAAUAUUUGGUGAUUUCACUUGCCUUCAGAUGAAUUACUGUGUAAACAAAAUAAAGGCUGGUUAGCUAUUAGAAAACUUGUUUUGAAGGAUGCUGGGGGACCAUAGUUCCAUAACGAGACUCUCGUCAGCUAUGAUGGUGUCCCGAUGGGCUUUCACCAUGACGGCCUCAAUGCUUUAUAGCAUGGGGAGGGAUUGGAGUGAGGAAAGAUUGGGUUUAUGAGUUGGGACUGAAGGGUUGAGAAAAGCUAGGGUUUUGGAUAGGUUGUUGGGGGAUAAUAGGAGGGUUCAUUGGAC